CCAGUCGGCCGGACGGCCGCUCCCGCUUGCGGGGGAGGAAAGUCCGGGCUCCACGGAAACACGGUGCCGGAUAACGUCCGGCGGGGGCGACCCCAGGGAAAGCGCCACAGAGAUCGAACCGCCGCGGGCUUACGGCCUGCGGUAAGGGUGAAAAGGUGCGGUAAGAGCGCACCGCGGACCCGGCAACGGGGACGGCAUGGCAAGCCCCACCGGGAGCAAAACCGAAUAGGGACGAUGCUCCCCGCGCAAGCGGGGAGGGGCAUGUUUUCGCGCCUUGUCGUCCGGGUUGGUUGCUCGAGGCGCGCAGCAAUGCGCGUCCCAGAGGAAUGGCCGUCACGUCGGGGGAGCAAUUCUCCGGCCAUCCAGAACCCGGCUUACAGGCCGGCUGGCAAU
rnacentral:RNase_P_RNA from 2 species